rnacentral:rRNA from 1 species
AUUGAACGCUGGCGGCAUGCUUUACACAUGCAAGUCGAACGGUAACAGCACUUCGGUGGCUGACGAGUGGCGAACGGGUGAGUAAUACAUCGGUACGUGCCUAGUAGUGGGGGAUAACUACUCGAAAGAGUAGCUAAUACCGCAUGAGAUCUAAGGAUGAAAGCAGGGGACCUUCGGGCCUUGCGCUACUAGAGCGGCUGAUGGCAGAUUAGGUAGUUGGUGGGAUAAAAGCUUACCAAGCCGACGAUCGGUAGCUGGUCUGAGAGGACGACCAGCCACACUGGGACUGAGACACGGCCCAGACUCCUACGGGAGGCAGCAGUGGGGAAUUUUGGACAAUGGGCGCAAGCCUGAUCCAGCAAUGCCGCGUGCAGGAUGAAGGCCUUCGGGUUGUAAACUGCUUUUGUACGGAACGAAAAGCCCUCUUCUAAUACAGGAGGGUCAUGACGGUACCGUAAGAAUAAGCACCGGCUAACUACGUG